GACGAACCGUGCGAACGUUGUUCGGAUUUACUGGGCGUAAAGGGCGCGUAGGCGGCCACCGCAAGUCAAUUGUGAAAUCUCCGGGCUUAACUCGGAAAGGUCAACUGAUACUGCGGGGCUAGAGUGCGGAAGGGGCAACUGGAAUUCUCGGUGUAGCGGUGAAAUGCGUAGAUAUCGAGAGGAACACCUGCGGCGAAGGCGGGUUGCUGGGCCGACACUGACGCUGAUGCGCGAAAGCGUGGGGAGCAAACAGG
rnacentral:rRNA from 1 species